UAUGGUAAUUGUGUGCCGCCGCGGUAAUACGGAAGGUCCGGGCGUUAUCCGGAUUUAUUGGGUUUAAAGGGAGCGUAGGCCGGAGAUUAAGCGUGUUGUGAAAUGUAGACGCUCAACGUCUGCACUGCAGCGCGAACUGGUUUCCUUGAGUACGCACAAAGUGGGCGGAAUUCGUGGUGUAGCGGUGAAAUGCUUAGAUAUCACGAAGAACUCCGAUUGCGAAGGCAGCUCACUGGAGCGCAACUGACGCUGAAGCUCGAAAGUGCGGGUAUCGAACAGG
rnacentral:rRNA from 1 species